CUGAUAUUUUGAGCCUCCAAGGACCCUUUUCAAAUUAUUUUUUGGACAUCCAAAGCUUCUGAUUUAAGUAUUCGAGCAUGAGGGCUUCAAGAAUCUCUUAGAUUAGCCCUCGCUCUUUGGUUGUCAAGAUCCUCUUAUUGGCUAUUCUCAUUCAAAAAUGAGAUGCCUUUGGGGUCUUCAUUGUGGCAUAUUCAUCUAGAUGAUAAGGUGCCCUUCUC
rnacentral:lncRNA from 1 species